GGAUUAGUAACUCAAUCGGUAGAGUGGCAGCCUGUUAAGUUGUGUGUUGUGGGUUCAAGUCCCGCCUAAUCCGCCA
rnacentral:tRNA from 1 species